CGUUUUCUAACAGACUGAAUUCUGCAUUUUUAUCAGCUCUGAUACCGACAUAUGGCACACGAGUGUCCACCCGUGCGCUCUGUUGCACAGAGGAGAAGACGUAGCACCACGUAAAGCAACGUGACCCACUGGAGCUCUGGGGAAGCAUCAGCUUCUCCUUGCGCUGCUAAGGCUGCGGCAACAGCACAUCACACAUCGCUGCUGUGUGCUCUUCUCCGUUUCUUAUAAAUCGUUUGCUGUUCACGCGUUUAUCCUGCAGCGCGCCUUUAAACCCACGGAAACGUGUAAAUCUGACGUCGCUUUUAUUGUGCUUUGCUGCUCGGUGUGGCUCCGUGUUUCCGUACGCAAGAUGUUGUCACAGGUGCCUCAGUCAAGCAAUGUGUGGAGAUCACUGCUCAUUUCAGAUGUCACUACCACCGCUGCCCAAAACAGAUUGUUUUGUUGGUUUUGUUUGUUUGUUGGGUUUUUGUCCUGUACCAUCGGGACUUCUGUAUAUUGACGACCAUGAGGAGGCAAGAGAUGGAAAGAUGGGGCUAGAAGGGAAUGGAGGCUAUGAGCAUAUCAAUUCUUCGUGCAACACAAAACCUUCUGCCAUAGAGUAUGCUGCUAUAAAAAGCAGGGUGCCUUUUUCCCUGUCGUUUUUUUCCCCGUAGACCAAAAUUUGAGGUCUGGGUCUGUCUCCAGGUGAUUCUCCCUGGCUUCUUUCUCUCCUCCUUCUCCUGGGCUCUCUCACCAGCAGCCACAGAGACUGUGCUUUUCGGCUCACCACGUAUAUCAAACGCUGGAUGCAACUUAAAGAAAGAGAGGCCCGUCAUUCAAGCAUAACAAUGGAUUUCACAAUGGUCACCGAAGAAUGUUUGAGUUUCUGUACACGUCGUGCACACCAGGCGUUAUGUUUGCAAGAGAAAGAGAGAGCAAGAGAGAGAGAGAGAGACAGAGAGGGGGGGGAGAGAGAGCGAGAGAGAGCGAGAGCGAGAGAGAGAGAGGAGGGGACCGGCGACGCAACAUCACCGCAUACUGUCAUCCGAAGCUGGUGAGGAGAAAGCAGGAGGAUGCUGCCAGCAGUAUCACCUCGGCCUUGGCUUGUGUCGAUGCAGAAGUAAUGACAGUGAUUUUUUUUUUUUUUUUUUAAAAAGAAAAGAAAAGAAAAGAAAGUCAGAAAAAGGAAGAAAGGAAAAAAGAAAAAGAAAAAACACUUCUUUGGGUUUGGAUCAACUCAUUGUGUAGAUUUACUCUCAAUCUGCGAAGGCUUGUUCAUCGAUUGGCUGGACUUUGGGCUCUUAGAGUUUGGUUGCACUUGAGAGAUGGCCGAUAGAAACUCGAAUUAAAGCACUGAAUGGACUUCAGCUGGAGAUGUGGGAUUUACUGAGUACACAGCUUGAAUCUGUGCAGUGCAGAGUGAGGGCAGUCACACAGAAAUACACAGACCUCACCAGCAGGCCUGCGCCUGGACCUACAGGACAGCACAAGGUCAGAAGGGAAACAGCAGCCUCCUGCCCCGAGGAGCAAAGGUCACUGACUGGGUCAGGAUGAGGCUUCAUCACUGUAGUGCAAAGGAAGAGGAGAAGGAGGAGGAGGAGGCAGUGGAGAACGAAAAAGAGAAGCAGAGUGGGUGGAAGAAUGGAAAAAGAGAAGGAUAGAAGCAGUUCGAGGAGGUGGUAUCGAAGCGGGUGAACCCAGAGCAGGUGAACACAGCUGUGGAUCGCCAUGGGCUCUCUGGCUGCCUUCCUCCUGUGGCCCCGGUGCUGCAUACAGGGGUCCCGGUGAACCAGCAGGGGCCAGCCAAAGCUGCGGCAGAGUGGGCAGGCUAGGCCAGCCAAGCCAGGAGAGAGGCAGGUGAGGCGGGUGAGCUGAGCUCUCAUUCCCGCCGGCUAGGAGCCUCCUCGGCAGAGUGGAGCAGCGCGGAGUAGCAGAAAUCAAUACAGAGGAGAGAGGCUAGCAGAGGUUGCCCAGCACUGCCUGCAGGCCUCGGAGCCCAGGGACCAACCACCACUGCUCCCAGCUCCUCUCUCCAUCUCUCUUUCUAUCUUUCUCCAGCAGUCCCACCACCAUCUAGGGCCAGGGCCCUAACCUUGGAAGCGCCCCACACGCUGUGUGUGUGUGUCAGUGCAUGCACAUGUGUGUGUGAAACAGAGAAAAGGGAAAGGGAAGAGACAGAGAAGCAGUCUUUGUGUGUGGUUCAGCUGGAGGGUUUUUACUUGGUCCAACACCACUUCAUAAAACUUUGUCAGAGAGACGUGGAGACAGCAGGAGAGGCAGAGAAGAAGAAUGAGACAGGACGUCGAGGGUCUCUUUUCUUCCACCUGCCUCCCUCUUAUUACUCAUUCCAUCUUAACCGUUUGAAUAAGGAUCUGUCUGAGCAACCUGCUCAGUCCCACUUCCCAGCACAAUAUUCCUAAGAUCUCAUGAGCCAGGAUGAAAGGACAAUUUGAACUUUUUCUCUCAUCCGCUAUAUCAGACACAACCUGUCUUUUCGUCUUAGAUUUUCUUACCCUCACUACAGCAGCUCCCAUAAGAGGAUAUGGCAGUGCAGUAUUGAUCUAUAAGGUGGAAGAGAGGAAGGCAGGCCUGGGCUUUCAUACCUCUCUCUCACUAUGUGUGGGGAAAUAGCACCUGAAGUCCACUUACCGCCGUGCAGCAGGGAUCCCAUGGCAGCACAAGUGAAUGGCUGCUAAUUGAAUGAGAGAUGAAAAAGACAGUAGUUUUAAAAGUGCCAUGCCCUCAAUCGUCUGCCUUCAUUUUCAUCUGACUUUUUGUCUCCUCCACAUACACAAAAGUCCUUCCCCACACAGAGACUCACUAUUCAGACGUUUAAGCAAAAUUGCCAAAAUAAUCACAAAUGAAAAGCUGGUUUGACAUCAGCGUAAAUGGGCAGACCUUUGUAAAAAAGAGGGGAGAAACAAGUAGAAUUUUUAUCCGGCGAUAGUGAGUGUCACGGCACAAAAAGAUACUGUACAUGUCUGAGGGCUGGAAUGACACUAAAGGACAGGUGGACAGUUUCCCAAGAAUGCAAAUGUGCAGUGAUUACGAUGGGAUUCUUACUUCCUGAUGCAGUCAGAAAAGCCACCGUGAAGAUAAAAUCGACUCUUGAGCUUCCACCUGAAUAACAAAGCGUGCACGCUGUCUGUAGCCAAUUUCUUUGAACACGUUUAGCCUUGGCCACAUAUGGAAAAUGCCACCUCUACACCUGCAAGAACAGUCACUUAGACACACAUCAUUAGAGUCUGAUUAUCCUCUGUCUAGGCGCUCGUCUUUGUGGAUGGUAACAGGUAAGUCAGGGCUGCUUCUAAAAGGUAAGUUUAGAGGUUGAAUCAAUUUAAGUGCUGUCUAAAGUGUAAAAUGGAGCUUCCGAAUAAUAUUUUCCGAAAUUAGUUUCAUUAGAUAUGAAUUACUAUAUUUGAGACCAAUUUUAGGUCGGAGAUUGGAUGAGACCCCAAGGGGUCUUUCUUUUUCACUCUGUAAUUUACAUUCAAGUAUUUGAUUGUAAAAUCAUUCAGCGAGAGUUUGCUGUUGUUGAAUUACUUUCCUCUUUGCUGGUGCGACAUUAUGUACACAUAUAUAUUUAGAAAAUCUUUUUCUAUAAAGAAAUACGUUCAUCACAAAACACUGAACGAUAUUGCAAAAUGCCAAAAGUGUUGUUCUAAUGGGAUAUACAUAUUUUGAAUAAAGUUGAUCAAUUUGUGAAAUGAAAAA